UACGUAGGGUCCGAGCGUUGUCCGGAAUUACUGGGCGUAAAGAGCUCGUAGGUGGUUUGUCGCGUUGUUCGUGAAAACUCACAGCUUAACUGUGGGCGUGCGGGCGAUACGGGCAGACUUGAGUACUGCAGGGGAGACUGGAAGUUCCUGGUGUAGCGGUGGAAUGCGCAGAUAUCAGGAGGAACACCGAUGGCGAAGGCAGGUCUCUGGGCAUUAACUGACGCUGAGGAGCUGAAAGCAUGGGGAGCGAACAGGA
rnacentral:rRNA from 1 species